rnacentral:rRNA from 1 species
CAGAACGAACGCUGGCGGCGCGUUUAAGCAUGCAGGCGAGCGGCAAGGGCCUUCGGGCCCUAGAGCGGCGGACGGGUGAGUAACACGUGGACAAUCUGCCCCCCGGCCCGGGAUAGCCCAGGGAAACCUGGAUUAAUACCGGAUGAGACGGGACCCGCGAUGGCGGGACCCGGGAAAGGCGCUGCGGCGCCGCCGGGGGAUGAGUCUGCGUCCCAUUAGCUAGACGGCGGGGUAACGGCCCACCGUGGCGACGAUGGGUAGCCGGCCUGAGAGGGUGGACGGCCACAUUGGAACUGAGACACGGUCCAGACUCCUACGGGAGGCAGCAGCUAAGAAUCCUUCCGCAAUGGGCGAAAGCCUGACGGAGCGACGCCCGCGUGAACGAAGAAGGCCGUGAGGUUGUAAAGUUCUUUUCGGGGAGGGGAACAACCGUGGCAGGGAAUGGCCGCGGGAUGACGUGAAUCCCGGAAUAACGCCCCGGCUAACUACGUGCCAGCAGCAGC